AAGAUCUGUAGCGUGGCAUGUACGAACGCAGCAGCAGAUACAUUUAAUUUGUCAUUCUUUUACUACCGCACAUGCAGUUCCGGUUCCUUGAAGCAUGGAAUUUUCGAGGAGGAGGCACCACGACUGGUCAUUGGAGAAGACGUAUCUGGCACUUUAUGGUGGCUUGCACUGGUCGCACCAUUUGUUCAUGUAUUCUCUGCUGCAAAUUUUAUCCCAUGCUUGGGAGGAAUGCUAUCGAGUAUGUCAUGGUCCAUCCAACAAUUUUUUUAUUGGGAAUUCUGUGUACCAACUUCCAACUAGGAGUGGUAUUUUUAUUGA